GACGAACGCUGGCGGCGUGCUUAACACAUGCAAGUCGAACGGAAAGGCCCUGCUUGCAGGGUACUCGAGUGGCGAACGGGUGAGUAACACGUGGGUGAUCUGCCCUGCACUUCGGGAUAAGCCUGGUAAACUGGGUCUAAUACCGGACAGGAGCCAUUUUUAGUGUGAUGGUUGGAAAGUUUUUUCGGUGUAGGAUGAGCUGGCGGCCUAUCAGCUUGUUGGUGGGGUAAUGGCCUACCAAGGCGGCGACGGGUAGCCGGCCUGAGAGGGUGGACGGCCACAUUGGGACUGAGAUGCGGCCCAAACACCUACGGGAGGCAGCAGUGGGGAAGACUGCACGAUGGGCGCAAGCCGGGUGCAGCGACUCCGCGUAUGGGAUAACGGCCUUCGUGUUGUAAACUACUUUCGCUAGGGACGAGGCUUUUUGUGACGGUACCUAAAUAAAAAGCCACGGCUAACUACGUG
rnacentral:rRNA from 1 species